GGGAAAGAGCUGUUCUGCGAUUGAUUGUAAAAACAGAUUCAACAAGAAAUCGAAUCUGUCUUUUUACAGACUGCCGAAAGCAAAAGAAAAGAGAACCAAAUGGAUCGCUGCACUUUGCAGAAACAACUGGAAUCCAGGCAGCGAAACGUGGAUUUGCAGUUGCCAUUUUGUGUCAGGAAAAAAGAGUGAUGAUCCUCUACACCCUGACUAUGUGCCAAGUUUAUUCAGUUUCACGCCCACCGCUGAUCGAAUUCGGGCUGUCAACAACCUGGAAAGAUAUCAACGAUUUCGAGAAGUUUCUGUGAAAAGAUUUGUCAGUGCCAACACAAGUAAAGAGCUAGCUGCAACAGCUCUCAUGAACCUGCAUCAAAGUUCUGCUUUAAAGAAAGAGCUACAGGCGGUUGAAAUCCAAGACACUGAGGUCCAGACGGUUGAAGUCCAAGGCACUGAGGUCCAGACGGAUGAAACACACAGGGACAUCUCCUCUUUACAUGAACAGAUCAAAUCUUUAAACACUGAAUGCCAAUUACUGAGAGAAAAAGUUUACGGAUUAGAAAGUGACUUAAAACGUCAUUCUCUUGAUCCGUCGCAUUUUGAUGACAGCAAAAUGAAAAUUUUCACAGGACUACCCAAUUUACAGACUUUCAUGCUAUUGUUCAGUUCUGUGUCAUCAGUUGUUCCUAUUAGUGCAAAACAGUCGCUCAAGCCUACUCAGGAACUACUUCUUACUCUGAUGAAGCUGCACCUCAAACUGUCUGAGGAAUUCUUAGGUCAGCUCUUCAGGAUUCAUCAGUCAACGGUAUCAAGAAUUCUUCGACGUUGGAUACAUGUCCACGGAGCUUUUAAUUCCUUAAUGUAAAAUAAAGGCCUUAAUUAGCGUUAAAAAAACGCUAGUUGCUUUUUGAAAUCGUAAAACUGUCAUUGCAGCGACUCGCAGUAAAUGCCAUUUCACACAAACUCCAUCCGUACCUGUGCUGUGAGUUUGAGUCACAUUUAGAACACAACAUGUGUCAGAUUUACUUUUAUUUACGUUAGCUUAAAUCUCAAACUUUUUUUAGUGGGGAGAAAUUGACUGCAUUUUACCCGAUUCGUAAGCAGAUGUGAAUGCUGUAGUUUGAGACGCCUUGCCGAAUGUAUGGAAAAAUGUACAUUUUGUAAAUAUUCUUUAAUGUUAUUUAA